CCUACGGGGGGCAGCAGUGAGGAAUAUUGGUCAAUGGGCGAGAGUCUGAACCAGCCAAGUCGCGUGAAGGAUGACGGCUCUAUGGUUUGUAAACUUCUUUUAUAUGGGAAUAAAGUGCGGAACGUGUUCCUUUUUGUAUGUACCAUAUGAAUAAGCAUCGGCUAACUCCGUGCCAGCAGCCGCGGUAAUACGGAGGAUGCGAGCGUUAUCCGGAUUUAUUGGGUUUAAAGGGUGCGUAGGUGGUUAAUUAAGUCAGCGGUGAAAGUUUGUGGCUCAACCAUAAAAUUGCCGUUGAAACUGGUUGUCUUGAGUAUAUUAGAGGUAGGCGGAAUGCGUGGUGUAGCGGUGAAAUGCAUAGAUAUCACGCAGAACUCCGAUUGCGAAGGCAGCUUACUAAACUAUAACUGACACUGAAGCACGAAAGCGUGGGGAUCAAACAGGAUUAGAUACCCCAGUAGUC
rnacentral:rRNA from 1 species